GCGCUGGUGGCGCAGUGGGUAGAGCGUUAGAUUUGUGCUCAAAAAGUCGUCAGUUCGAGCCUCGUUCGCCGCA
rfam:Schistocephalus solidus strain NST_G2 genome assembly, scaffold: SSLN_contig0012925